GUGCUCAGUCUGGCAGCAGGUAUACUAAGAUAGUAAUNAUAUAGAGAAUAUUAGCAUGGCUCCUGCACAAGGAUGACACACAAGUUUAAGAAGNGUUCCAUAUUUUA
rnacentral:snRNA from 1 species